rnacentral:lncRNA from 1 species
AAAUAUGUGGUCAAACGCUAACACUCGAUUCAACACAUUGAGCAGAUCAAUCUCAUGUACACAAUCUAACUUAAAUCUAUUAACUUUCCUAGUUGCAUCAAAGACUAUCCAUCGUAACUUAAUUUUAAGAAAGUUUCGGGAAAAAAAAAAUCAAAGCUCAAAUCGGUAGGACUGUAGAGGUAUUACUUAACACCGGGAUUUAUGAAUGCAAAGAGCCUUUUAUAGAUAAUAAAAUCUGAGUUGCAAAGAUUUUAUUUUUCUAAGUUAAGAUGCAAUGAAACUGGGCAACGAUGAAUCCGCAGACUUAUUUUACCGGUUGUCCUCAAAGAGACAUAAAUAUGUAGCAAUAGUGACCAGAAUUAUCUAAACAAUUUGAAGGAAAAA